UUUCCGUAGGUGAACCUGCGGAAGGAUCAUUAAAAAAUAUCACAUUUGUUUGUGAUUUAAUAAUCAUCCUACCCUUUGUGAAUUUGUUUUUGUUUGAAAUUUAUGUUGUCUAUCCCUGGAUUAUGAAAGAAAAGUUGUAAAAGACUUUUUUUCAUUCUAGGGAAUAGGCUUUCAUAGACAUUUUUUUAAAUUAAACUUUUUGUAUUCAUUUGUCUAAAAUUUAUUUUUAAAUAAUUUAAAAACAACUUUUGACAAUGGAUCUCUUGGUUCUCGCAACGAUGAAGAACGCAGCAAAAUGCGAUAAGUAAUGUGAAUUGCAGAAUACGUGAAUCAUCAAAUUUUCGAACGCAUAUUGCACUUUUUUAGUUUACUAAAAAAGUAUGUCUGUUUGAGUAUCAGUAAAAUAUUCUCAUAAAAACUAUUGUUUUUAUGGUUAUGAGUGUUUUACAACGAUAACAAGUUGUUUCACUUUAAAUUGAUUUUUUAAUAAGCCAAUUUGGUUUUAUUUUUAAAAUUGGAUAAAAUUUUCCCGUAAAAAGGAAUAAACUUUUCAGUUUUAAAGUUAAAACUUAAAUUGACCUACAAAAAAGGAAAUUUAAUUAUAAAACUAACUUGAUCUCAAAUCAGAUAAGAGUACCCGCUGAACUUAAGCAUAUCAAUAAGCGGAGGAAAAGAAACUAACAAGGAUUCCCUUAGUAACGGCGAGCGAAGCGGGAAGGGCUCAAAUUUGAAAUCUUCAAGGUUCUACCUUGACGAAUUGUAGUUUAAAGAAGUGUUUUCUGUUAGUGGAGUGGCAAAAGUUCUUUGGAAUAGGACAUCAUAGAGGGUGAGAAUCCCGUAUUUGGUCAUUCCUUCUAGCUUUGUGAUACACUUUCAAGGAGUCGGAUUGUUUGGGAAUGCAGUCCAAAAUGGGUGGUAAAUUUCAUCUAAAGCUAAAUAUUGGCGAGAGACCGAUAGCGAACAAGUACCGUGAGGGAAAGAUGAAAAGAACUUUGAAAAGAGAGUUAAACAGUACGUGAAAUUGUCAAAAGGGAAGCGUUUGACACCAGUGUUGUUUUUCCGAAAAUCAAUUAUAAAUGUUUUGUUUCUGAGGAGUGAUGACUUCAUCGGCUUCCUUCUCUCUUCACGAAACUUUUGUAAUGCACUUUUCGGUUAACAAGUCAACAUCAAUUUCUUUUGUUGUAAAAGAGUAUUCGGAAGGUGGCUUUCUUUUCGGAGAAAGUGUUUACAGCCCUAUACUUCUACAAUCGGAGAGAUUGAGGUCUGCAGCGUAGAUCCUUCGGGGUUAGAUACACUUGUGCUAAGUUAUAGCUUUUCAUAGACAACUUGUUGACUAUGUUUAGUCUUGUAGCUUACUCGCUUGUGCUAUUU
rnacentral:misc_RNA from 1 species